AAAAUGGACGAAAUUCGGUUAAUUUGAUCAAAAUAUAGGCAAUUUCAUUGAUAUUUAGGCAAAUUUACAUAAAUAAAAGGUAAAACUACUCCUAGUUCAUGCCGAGUAGUUUGUAGAAGACUGUGUAGUCAGCUUCAUCGCUAUCACUCGGCCGCCUGUCCUUCGUGGCGUCCUGGCUGCAGCCAUCCCCUGGAUCACUGUUACGUGCAUGUCGGGCAACGUCGGGUAGUGCGCCUCAUGCAGCAGGCGCACCUUCCACUUGUGCAGCCCAGCGGCGGCCGAAGCCGAUGGCCGCCGCUCUGUCGCCGGGGAACCUGUGAUAGCCUGGCUUAUUAGGGAUGAUAGACUACUCAUAUCAAUAAGGAAUUCCUUCUUUUCCGGAAGUCCAUUCAAAUAGAACUCUCAGGUUAAGCGUGCUCUGAGUGGUGGUGUAUGUGAUAGCCUGGCUUAUUAGGGAUUAUAGACUACUCAUAUCAAUAAGGAAUUCCUUCUUUUCCGGGAGCCCAUUCAAAUAGAACUCUCAGGUUAGUUCUAGGAUGGAUGACCGACCGAAAAGUUGAUCCCGGGUGCGCAUGAGUGAGGACAAAGUGCGCAAAAAAGACUAGUAUUGAUAUGUGGGGCCAGUCUAGAUCCCGCCAGGAGUAACGACCACCGCGGGUGUGUCCGAGGCGUUACAGAACCUCUCUACCAUGACUAGUGUGGGCAGCGACAGGGUGGGAGCGGUGUGGACGUGUGACGGGAAAGGGCGGGACGCGCGGCGGGAAAGGGCUGGGACGCGCGACCGGCGGCAUCAUUGAUUUGCGCGGGAGCUGAGGCGAGACGACUAGGACGACGAAUCUGAGGCGCUAACUCGACGGGCCCUGAGGGGUGGAAAUCUAGCGCGGGUUGUUUUCGCGCCAUUUUUUUCCAGCGCCACCCAGCGCAAUGGGUCCGCCGACGCCAGUUUCGGCCCAAACCGGCGAAAUUUGGGCCCCUAGGACUCGACUGGAUUUUUUUUACCGGCGAUAAAAAAGGUGCCUUGGGGGCCUAUUGGGGAAGGGAGGGGGGUGGAGAUGCUCUUAUGGAUCAGCUGGCCACAAGUGCAUCUGAAAAUGGACAGAAGGAUCUCGUCUUCUUCAGAAUUUAUCAAGAAGCCAUAAAAAAAAAGUAUUUCGAGAGGCGUCUAGCUAAAUUGGAUCAAUAUAAUUGACUAUGGAUUCGAAAGAUUGCACAAUAUAUGUUUGAUAAAUACAUGACAAAUGGCCAUGAAUCCAAAACAUUGCAUAAUGCUGGUAAAGAAACAUUGCGCUACUGAAUAAAAGAUCUAAUCGGGUUGUUUCCAAAACAAUCCUUUUGGUUUACCACAUAGAUCUUCAAACCACGUCCUACACCUAGACUGAAUAAGCUUCCUAAACUUAAUUCAUUUAUGCUGAAAGAUCAAAUCGGUUUGUUUCCAAAACAAUCGUUUUGGUUUACCACAUAGAUCUUCAAACCACAUCCUACACCUAGACUGAAUAUGAUUCCUAAACUACAUUUAUGUACAUGUAUAACUACCUGACGGCACCACAUGUAGAUGUGAUUGAGGUUUGGUUUGCUCCAAUCUCCCACACUAGUUAAUUUGGACACUUGUUGGUUUCACACGAGCUUGUUCGUAACAGAUCCAUUUUGAACGACUGGCUGGCUCACUAGUUUGGUUCUCUGGUGUGAUACCUUAUAUAGCAGCACUAGAACAAGAAACCAUGCAUAUAGUUAGCCAGCCUAGCCAAAUGUUUGCACUGAUUUGGUAUGUAUAUGCAUGCAUUUUACAUGAAUUAACUAAUUGCAGUACAUUUGGGCAUCGAUCUGGCAUGUCUGCUUGCUUUGCCGGUCAAACCGUGAUGCAUCAUCUCACCGGUCUCUCAUU
rnacentral:lncRNA from 1 species